UGUCACAUAAAAUGCUACCCGUGUUUACAUGUGGUCACCUCUUUUAAAGUCCAGUAGGAACCAGCGGUAGCAGAAGUAGAAGUGAGUGUAGUCGCCGUUUUGUUGCAUCAGUUCAAACAGCUCAGAGUCCAGGAUCUAGUUUAAAUACAAAUAAUUGUUAUUAAGACCACACUUGGUCAGUACUGCGAUGAGGUGGAGACUUGUCCGGGGUGUACCCCGCCUUCCGCCCGAUUGUAGCUGAGAUAGGCACCAGCGCCCCCAAAGGGAAUAAGCGGUAGGAAAUGGAUGGAUGGGUGGACUUGGCCAGUAUUUGCAUGAGUGGUACCUGGAUAAGAGAACGCAUGUUGGCAAAAUGUGAGUCCAUGGCGCCCCCAUGAGGAAAAUUCAGGUUCAUUCUUUUCAUCAGUUCAGUGAAGCAGCUGAACGCCAUCACCUCUGUGAAGCAAACACAAGUGUAUUUUCUGUAUACAGUGGGUAAGCAAAUCUCAUGAGAAAGACAAAUACAUUUUCUACAGAAAGACCCUGUACUUUGAAAACAUACUGAAUACAGUAUGAUUUCCAACAAAUGCAUGAAAACAACUGACCGUUAUCCAGAAUAACCAGAAGGGGAGCCAGUAUAUCGCACAUGCCCUGGACGUAACCUGUGUCCAGAUGUUGCCACACGUAGCUAUGAAGAUAAAAAGUCAAUAGAUGAAAACAAUUGUAGACUUGAUGUGUUUCCAAUGGUAUCACCUGCACAUGAUGUUCCUCAGCUUGUCCAGGUUUUCUGGAGUGAAGUACCAAUAGGUUCUGUCACACCGUCGGACAUCUUUGUCGAUGCGAUGCAAGUUGAUCAGAUACAUGUCCAGUGUUUCUUGCUGCAGAAGAGCAAGAGAGAGAAAACAGGUUUAGGUUUAGGAUUAAAGUUUAAGUACAGUGGAACAAUUGAGCUUUCUUACAGAGUAGGUUUUGUGCACCAAGGAUUUGUCACAUUUAGACUCUCCUGCGGCCUCUACAGGUUCCGAUGCUGUGAACACAUUUUCGGUGUCAGGCUCAUCUUCGGAAAGUCCCAGGUCCGUGCCCUCAGGACUGGUGUUGCAAGCUGUGUCCAGAUGGUGAUCUAAGACCAGGUCCUCAGGUGCUGUCUUCCCUCUCCGAGCCAGCGAGGCCGGAGGGGCGGCGAGGGCAGUCAAAGGCCUAAUGCUAAUUUCCUCCAGGUUCAAACAUGUCACCCCGGCAGGGAUGUCCUCCAUCUCUAAGGCGGAGGGGGAAUCGUCCGAGUCCGGGGACGGCCGGGUGUGGGAGGACAGCGAAAGGCUCCCGCGGGAUGCCGACUGGAGAGCAUUAAGGACUUGCCUUACAGAUUGUACGUUGACGACCUCUGAUGUGUCCAUUGACUGCUGAGAAGAUUCAAUCACUGGCUCCGUUGAACCUGUAGGGUCGGAUCGUUUCCUGGAGCUAACAGGACUAGCAGGGAUGUCCUUAAUUGGAUUGUUGUGCUGCUUUUGACUUUCUUCCGGUCUCGUCUCCAUCAGAUCGCCGGCAUCGACCGAUACAAACACCUAGAGAACAAGAAGGUCGAUUCCUGCUUUAUGCGAUGCUCAUGAGACUUGAACUAAAGAUGGACCUUACCAGUGCACUACUGCUGGAGUCGCUCUGUGACUGCACAUUCUGCUGAUCUGAGUUACUGCUGAGCGACGACUGAAGUGGAAAAAAGGAGAACUGUUGACUUACAUCCGUGCUGAUGGUGGAGUCCCGCUCGACAGGCCCCCUCUCGACGCUGGCGCCUGACGAACAUCUAGCGAGGGCCUCGGCGUGCUUCUCUCGCUCCCUUUGGCGCACGAUGGCCUCACAACCUUGCCACUCCUUCAUGUUCUGCUCGUACAAGGCGCGCAUCUGCUGGUCAGUCUGAAACAGGUCAGUGCAUACCAAUUCAAGCGAUAAUAAAGUAUUUUUUUAAAAAGUACAAAAUACACUGACAGAAAGAAACGGUAUACCUGCACAAUCUAGCAAGAGUUAAUCUAUGUACAUUCUCUCGAUGAGCUUCAAGAGGCAGUCACCUGAAAUGGUUUUCACUUCACAGGUGUGCUUGAAGCGCAUCGAGAGAAUGCCAAGAGUGUGCAAAGCAGUAAUCUGAGCACAGGGUGGCUAUUUUGAAGAAACUAGAAUACAAAACAUGUUUUCAGUUAUUUCACAAUUUGUUGUUAAGUACCUAACUCCACAUGUGUUCAUUCAUAGUUUUGAUGCCCUCAGUGACAAUCUACAAUGUAAAUAGUCAUGAAAAUAAAGAAAACCCAUUGAAUGAGAAUGUGUGUCCAAACUUUUGGCCUGUACUAUAUAUGUAUACAGUCAUGGUCAAAAGUUUACAUACACUUGUAAAGAACAUAAUGUCAUGGCUGUCUUGAGUUUCCAAGAAUUUCAACAACUCUUAUUUUUUUUGUGAUAUAGUGAUUGGAGGACAUACUUGUUUGUCAAAAUACACUUAUGAAGUUUGGUUAUUUUAUGCAUUUAUUAUGGGUGUACUGAAAAUGUGAGAAAAUCUGCUGGGUCAAAAGUAUACUAAUACAGCAAUGUUAAUAUUUGGUUACAUUUCCCUUGGCAGUAGCCAUCCACAAGCUUCUGGUUGAAUUUUUGACCACUGAUCUUGACAAAACUGGUGCAGCUAAAUGUGUUGGUUUUCUGCCAUCGUCUUGUUUCUUCAGCAUUGUCCACACUUUUAGGUCAGGACUUUGGGAAGGCCAUUAUAAAAUCUUAAUUCUAGCCUGAUUUAGCCAUUCCUUUACCACUUUUGACGUGUGUUUUGGGUCAUUGUCUUGUUGGAACACCCAACUGCGCCCAAGACCCAACCUCCGGGCUGAUGGUUUUAGGUUGUCCUGAAUAAUUGUUGUAGGGUUGUAGAAAUUAUUGGAAACUCAAGACAGCCAUGACAUUAUGUUCCUUACACGUGUAUGUAAACUUUUGAC